AAAAUUCCUUUUCUGCCCCUUAAAACUUUGUAGUACUCCUGGCCGGAUACAAUGGCUCAUACCUGUAAUCCAGGACUUUGGGAGGCCGAGGGGGCAGGAUUGCUUGAGUCCAGGAGUUGGAGACCAGCCUGGACAACAUGGUGAGAUUCGGUCUCCACAAAAAAUUUUAAAAAUUAGCUGGGCGUGGUGGCAUGCAGAGGUGCAUGCCAGAGGUGGUCCCAGCUACUCGGGAGCCUGAGGUGGGAGGAUCGCUGAAGCCCAGGAAGCUGAGGCUGAGGUGCAUACCACCACACUCCAGCCUGGGCGACAGCAAGACCCUGUCUAACACACACACACACACCCAACACACACACACGGACACCCUAACACACACAUACACACACCCUAACACACACCCUGUGUAAAACAACACUCUCAACCCUGUCUAAAAAACACACACUCCCUAAAACACACACACCCAUCUCACACACAUGCACUCACCCUAACACACACACCCUAACACACAUACACACCGUCUAAAACACACACACCCCCGUCUCACACACAUGCACUCAAACACACAUACACACCCUAACACACAUACACAUCGUCUAAAAUACACACCCCCGUCUCACACACAUGCACUCAAACACACACACCCUAACACACAUACACACCGUCUAAAACACACACACACCCCCAUCUCACACACGUGCACUCACUCUAACAAACACACACAUCCUAACACACAUACACACCGUCUGAAACACACACACCCUAACACACAUACACACCGUCUGAAACACACACACCCCCAUCUCACACAUGCACUCACCCAACACACACUGUCUAAAACACACACACCCUGUCUAAAACACACAUACAUACCUUAACACACACAUAUCCUGUCUAAAACACACACCCAUACUUUAAUACACAGACACCCACACCCUAACACACAUACCACACCCUAAAACACAAACACACCCUAACACACACGCAUACAGACCAUACACACCCGUCUAAAACACACAUACACACAUCCUGUCCAAAACACACACCCAUACUUUAACACACAGUCUAAGACACACACACCCUAACACACACACCCCAUCACACGCACACACCCUAACACACAUACACCCUGAUUCACACACAUACAACCUGUCUAAAACACACACCCUAACACACACUCUAACACACACAUACACACAGACACUUUGUGGUAUUCCUGAGACAUUCAACCACUGCAGAGCAUUAUUUAAAUGCCAUAAAAAUGCAUCUUUAUGGAUCAUUUCUAUAUUAAAAUAUAAUAAUCUUGGCGGCCACAAUAGUUAAAAUAAACAGAUUCAAGAUCAAAUAAAGUUAGAGCAGAAC
rnacentral:lncRNA from 10 species